CCCUUUCGGGGGUGCUCGAGUGGCGAACGGGUGAGUAACACGUGGGUGAUCUGCCCUGCACUUUGGGAUAAGCCUGGGAAACUGGGUCUAAUACCGGAUAGGACUACGCACUGCAUGGUGUGUGGUGGAAAGCUUUUGCGGUGUGGGAUGGGCCCGCGGCCUAUCAGCUUGUUGGUGGGGUGAUGGCCUACCAAGGCGACGACGGGUAGCCGGCCUGAGAGGGUGUCCGGCCACACUGGGACUGAGAUACGGCCCAGACUCCUACGGGAGGCAGCAGUGGGGAAUAUUGCACAAUGGGCGCAAGCCUGAUGCAGCGACGCCGCGUGAGGGAUGACGGCCUUCGGGUUGUAAACCUCUUUCACUAGGGACGAAGCGCAAGUGACGGUACCUAGAGAAGAAGCACCGGCCAACUACGUGCCAGCAGCCGCGGUAAUACGUAGGGUGCGAGCGUUGUCCGGAAUUACUGGGCGUAAAGAGCUCGUAGGUGGUUUGUCGCGUUGUUCGUGAAAACUCACAGCUUAACUGUGGGCGUGCGGGCGAUACGGGCAGACUGGAGUACUGCAGGGGAGACUGGAAUUCCUGGUGUAGCGGUGGAAUGCGCAGAUAUCAGGAGGAACACCGGUGGCGAAGGCGGGUCUCUGGGCAGUAACUGACGCUGAGGAGCGAAAGCGUGGGGAGCGAACAGGAUUAGAUACCCUGGUAGUCCACGCCGUAAACGGUGGGUACUAGGUGUGGGUUUCCUUCCUUGGGAUCCGUGCCGUAGCUAACGCAUUAAGUACCCCGCCUGGGGAGUACGGCCGCAAGGCUAAAACUC
rnacentral:rRNA from 1 species